GUUUGGUUUUAGUCAACUUGUAGAGAAAGGAAUGGUGAUUACAAUGGUCGAAAAACUACACGAAAUGGGAAUCAGGAAAGGCCUCAUCAGAGACGAUUUUUUAUUUUUUCUGUGGUGGCGUCGUUGAGGUUUUUCGACACUGCCAAAUUUUUAGCUCAUCCGCUGAUCCUUUUGCUUUGAUUUGGCCAUGGGGGUGUUCAAAAUUGAAUUUCAAGUGAAUAGGGAAAAUUUUACCUCUUUUGGCUAGCAGAAGUUGCUCCAGCGUGGUGGCAGGCGGCGGUCGGCUCCCUUAUCAGCGACUGGCUCUUCUUCUCCGGUGGGGGGUAUGGCAGCUAGGGUUAGGGUUUGGUGUGAAGAGAGUUAUUUAUAUCCG
rnacentral:lncRNA from 1 species